rnacentral:rRNA from 1 species
CUAAUACUCCAUAUGCUCUAGCGAGGAAAGCGGGGAUCGAAAGACCUCGUGCUUUAAGAGUGGCCGAUGUCUGAUUAGCUAGUUGGUAAGGUAAAGGCUUACCAAGGCGACGAUCAGUAGCUGGUCUGAGAGGACGAUCAGCCACACUGGGACUGAGACACGGCCCAGACUCCUACGGGAGGCAGCAGUGGGGAAUUUUGGACAAUGGGCGAAAGCCUGAUCCAGCCAUGCCGCGUGAGUGAAGAAGGCCUUCGGGUUGUAAAGCUCUUUCGGUCGAGAAGAAAUGUCUAUGACUAAUACUUAUAGAAAAUGACGGUAUCGACAUAAGAAGCACCGGCUAACUACGUGCCAGCAGCCGCGGUAAUACGUAGGGUGCAAGCGUUAAUCGGAAUUAUUGGGCGUAAAGGGUGCGCAGGCUGUGCUGUAAGUCAGAUGUGAAAUCCCCGGGCUUAACCUGGGAAUUGCGUUUGAAACUGCAGUGCUAGAGUGUGAUAGAGGA